rnacentral:rRNA from 1 species
UGGUUCAAGCUUGUAGUCGUGCCUGGUAGGUAAAUCCGCCGGGCUUAGAUGAGGGGUGAUAACGAGGCUGCUUGCAGCCGAAGUGAGUGAUACCCUGCUUCCAGGAAAAGCCACUAAGCUUCAGCUAUACACGACCGUACCGCAAACCGACACUGGUGCGCGAGAUGAGUAUUCUAAGGCGCUUGAGAGAACUCAGGAGAAGGAACUCGGCAAAUUGACACCGUAACUUCGGAAGAAGGUGUGCCUUUAGUAGGUGAAGGGAUUUACUCCUGGAGCCCAAUGAGGUUGCAAAAAAUCGGUGGCUGCGACUGUUUAUUAAAAACACAGCACUCUGCAACCACGAAAGUGGACGUAUAGGGUGUGACGCCUGCCCGGUGCUGGAAGAUUAAAUGAUGGGGUGCAAGCUCUUGAUUGAAGUCCCAGUAAACGGCGGCCGUAACUAUAACGGUCCUAAGGUAGCGAAAUUCCUUGUCGGGUAAGUUCCGACCUGCACGAAUGGCGUAACGAUGGCCACACUGUCUCCUCCUGAGACUCAGCGAAGUUGAAAUGUUUGUGAUGAUGCAAUCUCCCCGCGGAAAGACGGAAAGACCCCAUGAACCUUUACUGUAGCUUUGUAUUGGACUUUGAACAGAUCUGUGUAGGAUAGGUGGGAGGCUUUGAAGCAGGGUCGCUAGAUCUUGUGGAGCCAACGUUGAAAUACCACCCUGGUGUGUUUGAGGUUCUAACCUAGGUCCAUUAUCUGGAUCGGGGACAGUGCAUGGUAGGCAGUUUGACUGGGGCGGUCUCCUCCCAAAGCGUAACGGAGGAGUUCGAAGGUACGCUAGUUACGGUCGGACAUCGUGACGAUAGUGCAAUGGCAUAAGCGUGCUUAACUGCGAGACUGACAAGUCGAGCAGAUGCGAAAGCAGGACAUAGUGAUCCGGUGGUUCUGUAUGGAGGGCCAUCGCUCAACGGAUAAAAGGUACUCUGGGGAUAACAGGCUGAUACCGCCCAAGAGUUCAUAUCGACGGCGGUGUUUGGCACCUCGAUGUCGGCUCAUCUCAUCCUGGGGCUGUAGCCGGUCCCAAGGGUAUGGCUGUUCGCCAUUUAAAGAGGUACGUGAGCUGGGUUUAAAACGUCGUGAGACAGUUUGGUCCCUAUCUUCCGUGGGCGCUGCAGAUUUGAGGAAGCCUGCUCCUAGUACGAGAGGACCGGAGUGGACACACCUCUGGUGUAUCGGUUGUCACGCCAGUGGCAUUGCCGAGUAGCUAAGUGUGGAAGAGAUAACCGCUGAAAGCAUCUAAGCGGGAAACUCGUUUCAAGAUGAGAUCUGCCGGGGCCUUGAGCCCCCUAAAGAGUCGUUCAAGACCAGGACGUUGAUAGGCAGGGUGUGGAAGCGCAGUAAUGCGUUAAGCUAACCUGUACUAAUUGCUCGUUCGGCUUGAUC